AUACAUAGGUUAACGAGGCGAACCGGGGGAACUGAAACAUCUAAGUACCCCGAGGAAAAGAAAUCAACCGAGAUUCCCCCAGUAGCGGCGAGCGAACGGGGAGCAGCCCGGAGUCUGAAUCAGCUUGUGUGUUAGUGGAACGGUCUGGAAAGUCCGACGGUACAGGGUGAUAGUCCCGUACACGAAAGCACACUUGCUGUGAACUCGAAGAGUAGGGCGGGACACGUGGUAUCCUGUCUGAAUAUGGGGGGACCAUCCUCCAAGGCUAAAUACUCCUGACUGACCGAUAGUGAACCAGUACCGUGAGGGAAAGGCGAAAAGAACCCCGGCGAGGGGAGUGAAAAAGAACCUGAAACCGUGUACGUACAAGCAGUGGGAGCCUCUUUAUGGGGUGACUGCGUACCUUUUGUAUAAUGGGUCAGCGACUUAUAUUCUGUAGCAAGGUUAACCGUAUAGGGGAGCCGAAGGGAAACCGAGUCUUAACUGGGCGUUAAGUUGCAGGGUAUAGACCCGAAACCCGGUGAUCUAGCCAUGGGCAGGUUGAAGGUUGGGUAACACUAACUGGAGGACCGAACCGACUAAUGUUGAAAAAUUAGCGGAUGACCUGUGGCUGGGGGUGAAAGGCCAAUCAAACCGGGAGAUAGCUGGUUCUCCCCGAAAGCU
rnacentral:rRNA from 2 species